rnacentral:lncRNA from 1 species
AUGCACCGGGAGCCCGAUGUGGGAUUCGAUCCUGGGUCUCCAGGAUCGCGCCCUGGGCCAAAGGCAGGCGCCAAACCGCUGCGCCACCCAGGGAUCCCCGGGAUGGCUAUUUCUAAAGGGGAAAUUAGAGCUCCAAAGGGUCGAGCGAUUUCCCUAAGGUCCUAUAACGAGAGGGUGAUAGGACCAGAUUUCGAAUCCACAUCUGCUGUGACUUCAAAAACAGCGUGUCACUCUCGACGACCUGGCCUGUCCCUGCCACUUGACCUCGGCUCGCACGUCUUGCAGACCCUGCACCCUCACCUCCCUGCCCCCCACUUCAGCCUUACAUUUAGCCACAACCUAACUGGAGUUGCCAAUCUUGUGCUUGAGUCAAUACUCAUCUUAUUUGCGAAGACCUCGUUGUCUGGUACUUUUGUUUAAUUUGAUUUAAUAUAGUGGAUGUAUUUCUUGUGUCUGGAGUUAAUUACAAGUUUCCCUGAGGCAGAAUUCUUGCCUUAAGCUUUUUCUUAUUUCUACCUCUGCCCCCUAGCUCCCAACCUAUCACAUUAUAUUCAUCAAAUAAAUCAUUCAAUAAAUGUUGGCCGGUUGACUGACUGAAAUCAAAGUAAGUUUCUCUGUGCCUUCCUUAUUCCUGGGGAGCAUUAAUUUUUCCUUCCAAAAGUAAAAGGGAAGAAAAACUAAUAUAUAUUGUAUAAAGGUGUUAAAAUGCACAUCGCAUGAAUCUUGAGUUAGAAUAUACAUUCCUGGAGGCAAAUGUGUUGGUUGGCAGCUACAGCAAAUCAUGCCAACUUGUUCAUUCAAUAGUACUUGUUGCAUGCAUACUACGUGCCAGAACUUUUCUAAUCCCGCACACGGCAGGGACCAAACAGACUAAAAUCUAGGUCUUCACGGAGCUUACAUGUCAAGGGACAAGACAGACAAUACAUGAAAUAACUCUGUAAAACACAUAGUUUGUUAAACUGUGAUUUACCAGUAAGUGCUUUGGGGAAAAAUAAAUCCGAAAAGGAGUUUAGGGAGUUUCAAGAGUACAAAUGCAACUUAAAAUAGGGUGCUCAGUGUUUUCCCUACCUGGCAUAAAAUAAUUGAUACGAUACCUAAGUAUAAUACAAUUAAGAUUUUCUUGGAUCAGUUUGCCUCAGGAAAUAUGACGAGGAAUAUUUUUCUUAUGAUUUAAUUUUAGUUGGCUUUUAACAAAGACUUCAAAAUGGCAGUUUAGGUUCAUUUUUAGUUCAGUGAAGAAUAGUUCUCAUACAUAUGCAGCCUGGAUUCAAUUCUCUUUCUUGGGUUGGAUUAUUACCAAGAUCUUAACAGGGAAAAAUGAAGAAAUAUGGAUGCUUCAGGAAUUGACUAACCACUUAUAGCCUGCAUUAAACAUGCUUUUCUGCAUCCAGAAGCCGACUAGAACCAGAUUAAGAACUAGAAAGGAUUUCUUGGGAAAGGAUCCUUACUUGCAAAAAUAAUUCCGAGACUUGGGCUGAGCUCAAAUUUUUGGAUUUAUGUGGAAAUUCAAGACUUAUCUUUUCAUAUUACCAUGUGAACAAUUUGAGUAAAUAACACAAACUCCCAGAGGUUUUGGUUUCAGAAAGUCUAGAGUUCAAGAAUAUUUUUCAUCUAUCAGCAUUGUCCUUUACUUAAGUAAAGCAUUCCUUUCCCAGUGUUAUACAGUCAUAUCCCCAUUAAUGAAAAAGCUACAUUUCAACAUCACACUUUGUUAUCAAAAAUGCUGUGAUUGAAAUAAUAUAGAAGGCAUUGAAACACAUUCAGGGAGAAAGGAGAGUGGGGAAUAGGGUGUGAAGAUAUUCUUUGGCUGAAAUAAUACCAAAAUGAAGUUACCCCAUUAUAGUAAAGCUAUUGUAUUAGAGUGUAAUCCACUAAUGAGCCAUUCGGUUAACUGACAUUAGAUAAUUUCUAAGUUUUAUUAAAGUUUUAUUGGAGACCUGUAGCUGGGGAGGGUCUGAGGUGAUAGAUGUAUUGAUGCCAGAAGGAAAAAAACAAACAAACAAAAAAAAGGAACAGAAUGGGGAAAAUGAGAAUGCCAACAACAGAUUAUUUCACAAUUUGGCUUAGGGUCUAUGCUAUUAACAGGCAGCUGUGAUAGACCAAGUGUGGGUAGAAGUUGAGGUGUGCGUGUGCGUGUGCAUGUGCGUGCGCAUGGAUAACUUGAGGUGAACGACGACGUGCUAGUAAUGCUUCCUGUAAUUUGUCAAGAAUUUCUACUUGCUCUUUCUUUCCCCCAGAUUUGCUGACUGUGUAGAGAGAUGUUUAGUCUUGGAUAAAUCUCUAAUGAGGUAUUACAUCACCAGAUUACAUAAAUAGAUAGCAUAAAACUACAUGCAAGUAAAAAUAGAUUAAGUAGAUUUCCUUUUCCUAAAACAGCACAGAGAAACUGCUUAUCUGAUAUACAUUAAGGUGAAAUCUAUUUUUGGAUACUUCCUGUACCAAUUCCAACAGAUUUCCAAUUAAACUCUAGCAAACAAUUUGCUUUUGUUUUCCCAGAAACCUCUGGUACAGGAUAGUGGACAGGUGUGCUGUGCUGGAAGUAGGGUUGGUAUCUUAAAGUCUACGAAAACAAGGAAGCAUUCGCAGAGUAAACUGGAGUAAUAAAAAUGAAGGAUUCCUUCAAUUAAGGAUUUUCUACUGGUCUGGAGCAGAAGACUCACAUCACCCCAUUUAACACCACAGAGCAUGUAAUAAAUACCUUUAAUGUAUCGACAAAUCCAUUUGCUAAAUAGAAAAAUCUUGCAAGGAUAUUUUGAAAUGCUUCAUAAUAUAUUAUGUACACUCAGCUGCUUCCAAAUCAAAAGAAUAAAAGCGAAACUGAUUUAAAAUUAGAAAACAAAUUAGAAAACAACUCAAGUAAAUGCAUUUUAGGAUUGAAAAGAAGACUCUUUAGAAGGUCUCCAUCUUCUUUAAAACUGUAUUUUUGAGUAAGUGAUGCUUUUCAUACUUGCUAUCUUUACACUGAAAGGAAUUACAAGAACAGGAUCUUAUAGCUUUAUACUCUUUGGUGAAAUUAGGUCUUUUCUUUACACGAACUAUUCUCAGUUCCCAGAUUCUUGCCAUGUGAUAUGUUUGUGCUUGUCACGUCGUGUCAUGAGUCCACGGCAGCAUCUGAUUUCAACUCAAUCUAAAUAGUUAACAUUUUCAAAUUGCUUCAAUAUUCUUAGAUGAGAGGUUGAAUUGUGGGUUUAGCUCUUCCCCUUCUUUGCAAGGAAUGGGCUCCGGGGCAGUGAUUUGGAUCAGAAACAUGGACUGCCUUCGAUCUACCUGGCGGCCACCACACGAGGCACUGAUAUGUGACUCUCAGGAAGGUUGGGCGGUAUGACGGUUAAGAAGUACUCCUUCCCAGGCCAUUUGUAAAGUCUAGACAUUUAGAAAUAGAUAUGAAAAAAAAAUUUGGCUAGACACUUAGCAUUCUAGGUGACCUGGAUCCCUUAAGGAGCAGAGAAUUAUAAUAGAUACAAGUAAUCCAGGGGAGGAGGUGAAAGGAGCUCUGGCUUGGAGUUGUGUGCCUUCUCAGACGGACACAUCCUCCUCUGGGUGGGAAUAUACACAAGCAAUAGAUUUUUUUUUUGGUUUGUUUUUUUCUUGAAAGAGUUCCUGAGAUGGCUGAUGAAACAGCCCUGCUCACUCAGCUUGCAUGCAGAAGUCAGGUCAAAGUUUUGGUCAAACCUAAGUCAGGGUGUAUCUCUUGGGUCUAGCACUCAAAUCUCAACUCCUAGCUCAGCCAUAUAUGACUGAUAGUCAUGGAAAUGUGUAGAAGAAUAAUAAUGACCAUUUGUUAGUGCUUCCAUUAUACGCCUAGUGUCAUACGCUUUACAUAAGACUAUUUCAUUUAAUUCUUAUAAUGACCUGAUAAAGUAGGAAGUUCUUUUUGGAAUCUAGGGAAAAAAAAGACAUCAACGAGAGAAAUAACUUAUUGUUUAUGUCCUAUUCAUGGUGGAUCAAUAACGCCCACCGUGCCAUGGAGAGGUUAGCGUGCGCUAGGGCAUAUUAAAGUGCUGACUUUUUCUGGAACACUUCAGUAGGCCACCAAGGCGCUUCUGGUCCUCCUCCUACCCCACCCACCGCUCCUUCUCUGUCUCCCUUGCUGAUUUCUCUUCAUCUUAUCAUCUUAAUGUUGCAGUGCCCCAGGGAUCAUUUCUUGGUCCUGUUCUGUAGCUACAGCAUCUAGGUGAGCUCAGCCAGUUCCAGGACUUUAAAUGACAUCUGUAGGCUGACAAACUCUCCAGUUGCGUCCGCUCCAGAUACAUAAACCUAAUUGUCUACACCUAUCGCCACAUGGGUGUUUAAUCGACACUUCAAACCUAAGCAUGUCUAAAUCAGUUUACGAAUACUUUCCUCCCUUGACCAAAUCGGUUUCUGUCUCUACGAUCUCAGUAAACGUGAAGUCCAUUCUCCCAAGAGCCCAGAUCAAAACCUUGGCGAUCAUCUUUGACUCUAUCCUUUCUCUUCUACUCAUAUCGAACCUGUCAGCAAUUCCUGUUUGCUUUAUCUUCUAAACAGGAUCCGAAUCUGACUUUGCUCCGUCACUCUGACUUUAGUCCGGGCCACCCUUAUUUUUCCUUGCAGCCGGGCUAGUCUCCUUACUUGCUCUUACUUCCCUACAUAUACUGCUUAUAUAGCAACCAGCCCCAUCUCCUGAAAAAAAUAAUUUAAAAAUCUUGGACCUUUAAAAACAUACACAUAGAUACAAAUGAAUGAUGACCACCGUCAUACAUCCAUAACUCAGCAUCAAAAAUCAACAUCUGCCAAUCUUUUCCCAUCUAUUCUGUACCCUCUUUUUUUUGGGAGGGGCUGUGUUAUUUUAUUUAUUUAUUUAUUUAUUUAUUUAUUUAUUUAUUUUUAAAGAUUUUAUUUAUUUAUUUGAGAGCAAGUGAGCACAGAGAGAGAGAGAGAGAGAGAGAGGGCGAAGCAGACUCCCUGCUGAGCAGAGGGCCAGAUGUGGGCUCGACCCCACCCCCCGGGGGUCAUGACCUUAGCCAAAGGCAGCCCCUUAACGCAGGGAGCCCCCCAGGCGCCCCUCGGUGGAGUAUUUUAAAACAAAUGCCAGCAAAGGCGUCCUUUUAAUUACCAGGCUAAGUGGCUCGCAAGUUUAAGGUCGCUUCUGUUGCUGGUGGCAGCCCAGCGCGAGUGCCGGCCUUGGAGGCGCGGUGGCCCGUGGAACUGGCGCACGUGCUCUCGGACCCGCCGUCCCUCGCCGUGGCUGCGCGGCAGGUGCACCUGCAGGGCUGCGCCCCCAGGCCCCGCGUGGGCCCCCGGCAGGUGGGCAGCUGCGAGUCGGGGCGGCACACCUGGACGGACACCUGCUGCCCCGCCCGGGGGGCUCUGCUCGGGGCGUCUCCGCGGGCUCCCGCCCGGUCCUGGGGCCUCCCGGCGGCUGCGGCGGGCGCGUCCGAUCGGCCUCGGGGC